rnacentral:misc_RNA from 1 species
AAAUUCCUCCAGCUUUCAUAAUUAGGAGAGAAAAAUUGUUUCGAUUGCUUUACGAUAAUGUUACUGGUUCAAGUUUUGCACAUUUUCUUGUACUAGAAAUACUAUGAAUUUUAACUGCUACAUUACCUUCUACCUAAGCUCACCGUAAACCUUCAUCCAGUGAUCAUUUUCACAAGUCAUAAUGUAAGAUUAAGAUUCUGAAAUUUGGAAGCAGUUGGCUCUAUCGGCGUUCAGCACCAUGAACAAUUUCGGAUUAACCUGAUUGUUUCCUUCAGCUAUUAGGGUAUUCAAUCCGUCCACCUCUUCCAGCAAUUCUGAGGUAACUACCACAGAAAUAUUCGACAAUGGUAUUCAUUGGCCAACUAAAACCAAUUUGAAACACUGAAAUCCCUUAGCUUACUAAGAUGUCUUUCCAUGUCUUGCCUUGUCUUCUUCCACUCUUCUUUCUCUAUCACAGUGGUAAAAUCAUCUCUUUCCUCUGAUGGUAUAAUUUUGAAUGAGUUCCCGUUAUCACGGAUGACAAGUAAAUCAUUCUUCCUAUCCCUGCUUUUUCCUCCAGGAACUGUCACCACUACUUUGGCUCUUGUAAUUGAUUUGGUUUUAGAAUCAAUAACGUAUAUUUCUUCGAAAUCAAGAGCAAAUUCUGGAUCACCUGCCCUGCGAUUCCUGUAGUGCUUUGUCAAGAAUACCUUCAUAAUUUCCCUCUCAGAUUUAUACAUGGGAUCUCUAGGUGCAUCAAUGGGAGGCUCUGUCACAUUGUAGCACCCAUAAUCACUCAUCGCACACCUGAUAUACUUCUGAGGCAUUGGUGCAAGAACUCUGGGAAUGGCAUAUAUAUCAGUAUCUGGAGGUGUAACAUACAUCUCACGAAAAUCAUAAACAUCGUCAUCAGGAUCAGGAGGUUUACGAAUGAAGAAAUCACAAUCGAAAAGGCAAAUUUUAUGAAACUCCUCCUCCUUAAUCCUAUAAUCCACAAUUUUCUCCGAAUCCCAUCCUUGAGUAAACACAAAGCUACUGCUAUUCACCAUCGCAAUGUCAUCAUCACCCCUAGCAACAGCUAAAGAUAUAGCACUACCACCACCUAAGAGGGUAUCAUAGUCAACAUCAAAGUCCUUCUUGUUGUCUGCUUCUUCCACUUCAUCUUCGUCCAUGUCAUAUUCAUCUGUACCUCCACCGUCAGCAUCUCCGUCAUCCGCGAACACCCUGAAAUCCGGUCUUUUUGAGCUCAAACUUUGUUUAACAAAAAUGAGGUUGUUGGAAAUUGUCUUAGCGAAUGAAACGGUGAAAAGGGUCGGUGUAGAAAGUGAAGAAGGUGCAGUGGAGAAGGUUGAAAGCUUCACCGGAAGCGGCAAGAGGAGACCGGCGCUCAUAGUUGUUCAGUGAGUGAAGAGGAAAAAAAAGUGAAGCGGGGGAGUGGAUUAGAUUUGUACUUUUUGUUACUCA